AAUGCCUUUGUAAAGCAGGAUCCCAGGGGCAGAUCCUGCAGGAGGUGCUCCUGGGGAUGGUGCUGGCUAUAGGACAGCCCUAAUAUGUAUGCUACAAGAGGAUAUCUCCCCAAGGAUGGCGCUGUGCUGAGCAGAACUAUUAGUGGUUUCAUCAGAGUGCAGUAAAAGUGGAUGUUUGUUGGGCUUCAGCUCUGCUAAUGAUCCUUGAUCUGCGUGGUGCAGACGAGGAGAGCCCAGCCUUGAUGAGAAAAUGGCAAGCUAAGUAGGCUAACAAAACAGCAGCAAGAAACUGGAUCAGCUCCGCUCAGUGAAGUUUUCCUGCUUCAACAGGGGGAGAAAAAAGAAUCGCUUUCUUUCCCUGAAAUCUUUCUUACAAAUACCAAACUGCAAAGGCUGCUCCCUCCGGCUGCUUGCACAACGCUCCUUGGGCUUCACUGCACUCAGCUUUUUGCAGCAGCCUCAUGUGCAAAGGCCCUCCGUGUGAUGCCUUUGGGGCAGCAAUGCAGCCUGAGCAGCGCCUGCCCCCACACUCUGCUAUGAUGGGGUGCAGACCUUGAAGGAUGCUCAGCACGGUGCUGCUCACUUGGGAUGCGCCAGCAGCUUCCUGCAGCCCUUGUGGAGGAUGUGCAGCAUCUGUUUGCAACAUCUCCAAAACCGAGAUGACUCACGAGUGCUUUUGCACCCCAGAGACCUUAAUGAUGGGAUGAACUCCCUGCAACGUCAACCAAGUGUUUGGGAUUUCCUGCUCCGGGGGAAGCAGAGCUUUCAGUUUGACUUUGAGGCAGAAGAAAGCCCUAUAAGAAUGGCUCAGGCUUCCCCCCUCCCAAUGGCUUUUUACCGAGCCAGGAUUACAGAGCACUUUUCCAUUUGUACUCGUUAAUGUGCAAAAUAACAUGGAUUUGGAGACAAAAAGCAAAAAAAACCCGAAACCCUUCUGCACUGUGAGUGGGUAUGGAGUGGCACUGAAUGGCCUUUCCUGCUCUGCUGCUGCAGAAUAUAUCUGGCGUGGCAAAGCUCCAGGAUCCUAGAUCUGCUUUAGUGCUAACAUUGCUCUAGCUGAUAAUGCUAAUCUCUUAAACUAUUCCCAGCCAGGCCCUAAGGAAGGGAGCUAAGCAACUCUGCAGCUAAUGAAACAACUUUUGUAAUUAUAGCUCUGGCCACGGCUGAAACGCACAGAGCAGCCCUGAGUUUUCUCCAGUCUCCAACGACCCCACAGCCAAACCAUCACCCAGUGCACCCUGCUGGCACAGGGCUGCCUUUGGGGCCAUCACCCGUCAUGCCUCAUUGGCACAGGGCUGCCUCUGGGGCCAAACAAGCCAACCAAGCCAACUUCUUAGUUAUCUGACACAUCUGCAACCACAGCAUGCGGUGGACAAGUCUGCUUUGUGACUUCCAUGCUAAUUGUGUUCCAUGAAUGCCAAUAUUCUUGGAAGAAUGAAGAGUCUCAGCUCCCUAAAUUACUCCUGUGGUUUUAAUUGAGUAUCAUUUGUUUCACCUUCGCAGCUAAUGUGUGCAUCACAGGAGGGAAUUCACCCCGAAGGAAGGUCUGCUUUUUGGGAACUGAAGGGAACAAAUGAGCACCACUUGGUGUGGCAGUGAGAAUCGUAAAAAAACACACUGUGGCUUUACUCCUUUCCCUCUGCAACGUUCCACUUUUAUUGCCAUAUAGUUCAAGCUUUUUAUAUGCUGAUGGUUUCCUGUCCCUGCUGAGCCCUGGGGAGCACUGUCCUUCUGCCACAUUGCUGCUGGAACAUGGGUGCAGCACAGCCCAAGGUGCAGCUCCAUCCCCAGAGCAAUGCCAUGGGAGCAGCAGAGCAGCACCACGAGGUGCAGGGUGCACGAUUCCCCCUUGCUCAGCUGCACAGUGUGGUUGUUGGGCUGCCAUCAGAUGCUGCCCCAGCCAUCUGCCUGUCCUUCAUCCCAUGCUACUUAACUCCUCCAGCAAUGCACUGCGCUUCCGCACUUGCUGAUGCAUGCCUGCAU
rnacentral:lncRNA from 7 species